UUAUAACUAUAUGUUGCGCCAGGGAUAGCAGCGAAAAGCCCACAGGAGCCAAAGGCGACGAGGACUUGUAGCGGAUAGCCCGGUUUAGG
rnacentral:misc_RNA from 1 species